GGCCACAGACAUAUCACCCUGCAGCCCAAGACCGGUUACUCACUGAAGCUAAGCAGGGCUGAGCCUGGUCAGUACCUGCAUGGAAGACCACAUGGGAAAACUAGGUUGCUGUUGGAA
rnacentral:rRNA from 1 species